rnacentral:rRNA from 1 species
UGCAGCAGGCGCGAAACCUUUACACUGCACGCCAGUGCGAUAAGGGGACCCCGAGUGAAAGGGCAUAUAGCCCUUUCUUUUCUGGAUCGUAGGGAGAUCCAGGAACAAGAGCUGGGCAAGACCGGUGCCAGCCGCCGCGGUAAUACCGGCAGCUCGAGUGAUGACCGAUUUUAUUGGGCCUAAAGCGUCCGUAGCUGGCCGGGCAAGUCCGUCGGGAAAUCCACCCGCUUAACAGGUGGGCGUCCGGCGGAAACUGUGCGGCUUGGGACAGGAAGGCUUGAGGGGUACGUUCGGGGUAGGAGUGAAAUCCCGUAAUCCUGAACGGACCACCGCCGUCGAAAGCACGUGCUCCCCCGCCGUGCCCCGAUUCGCCCGCCGCGCCC